AGCAGUCCUACGUCACUUGCCACAACACAUACAGUCUGAAACUAUUAAUUUCUAAAAACGGCAACCUAGGAAUUGCCACACGUCGGUGAUCUAUUAGUCAGACAACCCUUUUACUUUCAGUAGCCAAUGACAUGAAAUAUAAAUUGAUUCUUAUAGGUGAUUGAGCACAAACACCCAAAAAUAAGUGUUUUCUGUCCCCAUUUUAAUUUCCAUUUACGUAUAAAAACUAAACACUUUCCUUUUAUAGCUACUAACCACGAUUUGAAAUCAAAAAUCAAGCUCAAAGGGAAGUGAAUUCCAGAUUGCAGCAAACCUCAAUUAGUAUUAGCAAAGGUUUCUUUCUUCUUUUGUCUGCCUUUUUACAAGCUGAAUUUUGUGAAAUUGGUGAACAAAAUGGGAAGAGGAAAGAUUGUGAUUCGGAGGAUCGAUAAUACUACAAGCAGGCAAGUAACAUUUUCGAAGCGAAGGAAUGGAUUGCUGAAGAAGGCAAAGGAAUUAGGCAUCCUUUGUGAUGCUCAAGUUGGGGUCAUUAUCUUUUCCAGUACAGGGAAACUCUAUGAAUUUGCUAGCAACAGCAUGACAUCAGUAAUUGACCGGUAUAAUAAAGCUAAAGAGGAAGAGACUCAAGUGGCGAAUCCAAAUUCUGAGAUAAAGUUUUGGCAAAAGGAAGUGGCAAUGUUAAGGCAGCAGCUGCAUAUCAUGCAAGAAAGCCAUCGGCAAAUUAUGGGUGAAGAGCUCUCAGGUCUGACAGUCAAAGAUCUACAGAAUCUUGAAAGCCAACUCGAAAUGAGUUUACGAGGAGUCCGAACGAAAAAGGAUCAACUCUUAAUAUCCGAAAUACAAGAGCUAAACCAAAAGAGGGAGAUCAUCCACCAAGAAAAUGUGGAGCUCUACAAGAAGGCAAAUCUAAUUCGUCGGGAAAACACAGAACUGUACAAGAAGGUAUAUGGCAAUGGGGAUACAAGUGGUGUCAAUGGCGCCAUGCCUAUUGAAAGUGAACUGAUAAAAGAGGGCUCAAAUGGACCUGUCCAUCUACAGCUUAGUCAACCACAGCAGCAAAAUCAUGCAUCAGCAGGAGCCAUCAAGUUGGGGUAUAUGACCGAAUGCACAUUUAUCUAACCUAAAGUUCUUAUUCGUCUCACAGAAAUUUGAUCCAAAAUUUUUCUGUUUUAUUUUGCUGCAGCAGACUACAGCUGUACUAGCAGGAAUUUUCAGUAGGAAACACUUAUCCUGGUCAAAAUUCCCAAGGUACAUGGUCCGCAACUCCACAUGCACAAAGUGUAAACACUGACCAGUGACGAGGACAAAGAUCAUACGAUUUCAGAUUUAUUAAAGAGUCUGCACGCGGGAAUUUGUUCUUAGCAUAAGAGGUAUGACAGUGUAGCAAUGCUGAGCUUUGUAUUUAGAAUGUUAAUAAGUUUCAGGAAAGAGAACUAUAAUUUUAAUAUAUUCUACUGUUUGUACAAACUUUGCUUUCAGUUGAACCAAGCAAAAUAAACACGUUUACAUUUCUACUCUCUUUUUCUCCUCUAAUUCUUUCUGUUUUGAUUACUUUGAGUUGGGUUCCCGAUUUUUUGAGUUUUCACAGAUCACUACAUGGUUCGACAAUAUCCUCCCAAUAUAAGUAGGCAAGAUCCAGUCUGGAAAGCCCAGUGUACACAAACAUACCCCUAGAUAGUCCAAC